rnacentral:rRNA from 1 species
GACGAACGCUGGCGGCGUGCUUAGCACAUGCAAGUCGAACGAUGAACCCGGAGCUUGCUCCGGUGGGUUAGUGGCGAACGGGUGAGUAACACGUGAGUAACCUGCCCUUGACUCUGGGAUAACUGCGGGAAACUGUAGCUAAUACCGGAUACGACCCUCGGCGGCAUCGCCAGGGGGUGGAAAGAAUUUCGGUCAAGGAUGGACUCGCGGCCUAUCAGCUAGUUGGUGAGGUAACGGCUCACCAAGGCGACGACGGGUAGCCGGCCUGAGAGGGGGACCGGCCACCCUGGGACUGAGACACGGCCCAGACUCCUACGGGAGGCAGCAGUGGGGAAUAUUGCACAAUGGGCGCAAGCCUGAUGCAGCAACGCCGCGUGAGGGAUGACGGCCUUCGGGCUGUAAACCUCUUUUAGUAGGGAAGAAGCGAAAGUGACGGUACCUGUAGAAAAAGCACCGGCUAACUACGUGCCAGCCGCCGCCGUAA